GAUGAACGCUGGCGGCGUGCUUAACACAUGCAAGUCGAACGGUGAACACGGAGCUUGCUCAGUGGGAUCAGUGGCGAACGGGUGAGUAACACGUGAGCAACCUGCCCCUGACUCUGGGAUAAGCGCUGGAAACGGCGUCUAAUACUGGAUACGAGACGUGAUCGCAUGGUCAACGUCUGGAAAGAAUUUCGGUUGGGGAUGGGCUCGCGGCCUAUCAGCUUGUUGGUGAGGUAAUGGCUCACCAAGGCGUCGACGGGUAGCCGGCCUGAGAGGGUGACCGGCCACACUGGGACUGAGACACAGCCCAGACUCCUACGGGAGGCAGCAGUGGGGAAUAUUGCACAAUGGGCGCAAGCCUGAUGCAGCAACGCCGCGUGAGGGAUGACGGCCUUCGGGUUGUAAACCUCUUUUAGCAGGGAAGAAGCGAAAGUGACGGUACCUGCAGAAAAAGCGCCGGCUAACUACGUGCCAGCCGCCGCGGUAA
rnacentral:rRNA from 1 species